rnacentral:lncRNA from 1 species
UUUAUUCUGUGAAUUGGAACCAUUAGUAAUCCAGAAUGCUGUUGUCCCAACAAUAUCAAUUGCUAAACUGCUUGAUGAGUUCAAGAUUAGCAAAUUGUUUUAGAGGAAACUUAAUAAGCAGAUUUGUGUUGGGGGGAAAUGCACCAGUAAAAUUAUUGCAAUGCAAAUGAAAUAAAGCUGCCAGUGAGUUGAAACGAUUUUUACCCAAGUGUAUUUUUUUUCUAUUCACAUCAUGUAUAAGAACCUCAGAACCUGUGUUUUAACCGAGAAAUAAACUUCUUUCUUUCCAUUCAACAGUUAAGAUCUCUUGAUUCCUGAACACGGUGAAAAGUAAAAGUCAACGAAGAGUGAUUUCUGGCUAUGGCAGAAUCCAGAUGUCAACUUGAACAAACAACUUUGUCUAAGCUGGGAGAGAAGGAGCUUUGGAGUGACGGAAGGAAGCCAAGACCUGUGAAUAUGCAAAGAAACACAGCUAGAAUCAUCAGAGUGAUCCCACAAGGAAGACACAUGCUCCUGAAAGAAAGGCCAAAUUUUAAAGUUUUGUGAUCAGGGUUUUUGAGACGCAUCUUCAGGAGUGGCCAUUGCAGACAGAACAGAUGAUAGAAGAGCAAGAAGACCUUAGCAAGACAGCUUUCACACUUCUCUUCCAGCUUAACUAAAGUUGCUCGCUUUUACAGAAUUCAUAAAUUUGAAUUUGAUGAAAGAUUUCAUUUAAAGCUGUGUAAGUGCUAAAAAAUAAAUGAAUAAAACCACUGCC